rnacentral:rRNA from 1 species
UUCGGCUGUCAUAGCGAAGGGGAAACGCCCGGUCCCAUUCCGAACCCGGAAGCUAAGCCCUUCAGCGCCGAUGGUACUGCACUGGUGA